CCGAUCGUGUGUCCGAUCCUCUCCUACCCGCGACGUACGAUCUCUCCGAAGUCUACCGGUACUAAAUCGAGCGUGCCGCGCUUGCCGCGACAUUUAUCAUAAACAUAUCCCUUAUAUCGUGUUUAACCCUCCACUCUCCGAUCACCUGCUCUCCGCACGACGGUCGGUAAACUUUCUUUUAAUUAUUAAGUUUUGUUUUGGACUUUUCUCUGUGGAAUUUAUGGACGGUUAGAUCUAAGACUUUACACGUGGUUAGUCAGCAUUCUACAAUUCUGUUGGUCGGUGCAAAUAAAAGAUUGUUUGGAUUGUGGUAAAGGAAAAACGUCCGUAUAGAAAAGCGGCCGGCCCCGCGCCGCCCGGUCUCAUUUGCAUCUGUCAAGCACUAGAUUGGACAGCGGGAUUUACUGUUGAGACUCCAGCUUAUCCUGAAUCCAACACCGUUUUACCAAUCCAAUUAG